rnacentral:sRNA from 1 species
ACGGCGAAGCCGCCCGCAGGGCGAAGGCACGUAGUGCCGAGUGAAUCCCCCCCUCUCCGCCAGAUUGAGGUGAGCAGUUGUGCCAGUGCCGCGUGAGUUUCGCCGGCGGCAUUGGGGGGAUGAGA